CCACCAAAGAUCUCCCACCAAGCUCCAAGGCUCCGAAGCGCCGUACCAAUCAACACCUCCAAGAAGGACCGCGACGAUGAAGACGUUGCUGCCAAAGGUUUCCCCUGGUACACGACGACGCGAGAAGAAGGGUAGCCCCCGAUGCCCUCAAGGAACGUCCGACGGUAACCAUAGGCGCCACCGGGUCGGUGUCGGACAGGCCGACAGGGGUUUCCCCCGAUCCCA
rnacentral:lncRNA from 1 species